AAUUUUCAAAAGCGAAUAUAGUGCAGAAGCUCUGUAACUGUAAUGAUUCACAAAAAUGGAAACUCCUAAGCCUCAUGACAAUCCCAAAACAACAGAUUACAGAUACAUGGAAUAAGCAGUUACAAGUUUAAAACAUUCUAGUUGAAAUUCAUCCUAUGAAUCAACUAUUUCUUCGCAUAGGUAAUUAACAUUGAAUUUUGCUGAAUCUUGAAACCCUGAAGACCAUGCAUUGCACCUGUUGACUGCAUGUCAUCACCGUACUCUAUAAAGGCAAUCCCUGGCUUUGUUUCCACCAUCCUAACCUCCUUAAAACCUGGGUACUGCUGGAAUAACAUUUGCAGCAUCAUUGGAGUUGUCUCACUGGGAAGAUUUUGAAUAAACAGUAUAUUAUUGGGUGGAGCUGGAACCUCAGGAACCAUAGAUUUUGCACCACCUGGAUAGGGUAUUUGUGAUAACGGAGGAGUUGCACCAUAGGCACUAGCAUAACCAGAAGCAAGACCCAUCCCCACUUGAUUAGCAUCAUGCUGCUCUUUCUUC
rnacentral:misc_RNA from 1 species